ACAUGCAAGUCGAGCGAACGGACGAGAAGCUUGCCUCUCUGAUGUUAGCGGCGGACGGGUGAGUAACACGUGGAUAACCUACCUAUAAGACUGGGAUAACUUCGGGAAACCGGAGCUAAUACCGGAUGAUAUUUUGAACCGCAUGGUUCAAAAGUGAGAGACGGUCUUGCUGUCACUUAUAGAUGGAUCCGCGCUGCAUUAGCUAGUUGGUAAGGUAACGGCUUACCAAGGCAACGAUGCAUAGCCGACCUGAGAGGGUGAUCGGCCACACUGGAACUGAGACACGGUCCAGACUCCUACGGGAGGCAGCAGUAGGGAAUCUUCCGCAAUGGGCGAAAGCCUGACGGAGCAACGCCGCGUGAGUGAUGAAGGUCUUCGGAUCGUAAAACUCUGUUAUUAGGGAAGAACAUAUGUGUAAGUAACUGUGCACAUCUUGACGGUACCUAAUCAGAAAGCCACGGCUAACUACGUGCCAGCAGCCGCGGUAAUACGUAGGUGGCAAGCGUUAUCCGGAAUUAUUGGGCGUAAAGCGCGCGUAGGCGGUUUUUUAAGUCUGAUGUGAAAGCCCACGGCUCAACCGUGGAGGGUCAUGGAAAUUGGAAAACUUGAGUGCAGAAGAGGAAAGUGGAAUUCCAUGUGUAGCGGUGAAAUGCGCAGAGAUAUGGAGGAACACCAGUGGCGAAGGCGACUUUCUGGUCUGUAACUGACGCUGAUGUGCGAAAGCGUGGGGAUCAAACAGGAUUAG
rnacentral:rRNA from 1 species